rnacentral:lncRNA from 1 species
GGGGAGGAAGGAGGUGUGAAGGCGAGGUGGGAGGAGACAGGGUCGCAGGAGGGGUGAGGUUUUAUUUGGGAGAAAGUUGCGGGCAUUUCUGGGAGAUUUGAGCCCAUCGUUUUUUAUGUUAUCAUAUCUUUUCCCAAAAAAGUUAACACCGUCACCAACUCACCAUAUAUACUUACAUUUUUCUCGUGUAUUUCAAGGAAACCAAUUUGCAUUUUUUAGUUUUGUUUUACGCUGAAAGCUGUGGGAGUUUUGAGAGGUUUUAUGCUGGGCAUGAAUGAAUGUCCAGUAAUCAAGACUACUUUUGUAACAGCAGCUCUAGCAGUCCAGCUACCCUUUCUUUCUUGAAUGUCCAGCUACUUUUGUUCUCCAUGUUGGCAUUUCUCUUACUAUGUCUUGGCACAACUCGAACUUUAUUAAAAUUAUAAAGUAAAUAAAGUAGUUUAAAUAUCUGUACUUAGUCUAAACUAUAAAUAAAAUAGUUUAUCAAAAUACUAUCAAUGUACUGACAACUCUCUGGAUUCACGGAAUUUUGGACUUGUAAAUUCUCAGUUCGGAACUGGAGGGGUGCCAAACAGGCCACAUGUUAUUCAUUUUUAUGAGAUUUCUAAUUGUCCUUUUUUUACAAAAAAAGAGAGGAGAUGAUAAUUUUUUAGAAGCUUCCCUAGCAAUCUCCCUCUUUUUCAUAAAAAAAAGUAAAGCUGACACCUGAUAGGAGUUAUGCCUGCUUUUUAUUGAUAAAAAGAAGAAAAGAUCUAGAUCUGAAUAAUAAGGAGCACAAAAAAGAGAGAGAAAAGGCAACAAUCAAUUUUACCGAGAAAUGCUUCCUUAGCAAUCUCGGUGUCUACUGAGUUUACUCAAUGUUUAUGUUUUAGCCCCCUUAAUUGUAGAGUUUUAUGAAAUUCACUAUCUGUACCUCUGUACUAGUCUAGUACCUAUUAUUUCUUUUUUCCCAUAAUUUAAUGGAUUAUAGUUAACUAAGUAAAUAAAGUAUUGACAGAUGAAAAUCAUGUACAAAUGUGAACAUAACAAUGUUGAUCACACAAAUAUAAACAUAAAUAAAUGCUAACACAACUUUUCCUAGGAUCCUCAAAAGUAUGCCUGACAGGAUGGGAAACAAAAGGAGUAGCUUUUGUACCAGCAUGGCCAUCUAUUCAUUGCAUUCAAGCCGACCGAACAGUACACCAUCAGUUCAUGGCAAAUCAAAUACUAAACCAUAAAACAAUAAGAUGCAAUUAUCUAGUGACAAAAACACACUUAAAUAUGGAAUACAACCAUCGCAUAUACCGUAUAUUUACAACGUAGGAAUUUCUCAAAAGCUUGAGAGAUGCCCAAAGGUAGAGUGUGUGAAGGAGACGCGCCCUCGCGUGUGUUCGUGCCAAGAAAGCAACCGUAAAAACGGAACACCCGCGUCAGCCACUGAGCCGGGGGGGUGGACUGUGGAGGAUAUGGCAGCACUUGCCGCCCACCACCACCGCCUCCUCUCCUCCUCCUCCGCAGCUGCUCCACCAGCUCGCCGCCGCCGCCGUCUCUCCUCGCUCCCCUUCUCCCCGCGGCCUUCUUCCCAUGGCCGUCUCAGCUCCAGCACGCGCGCCUCGGGCGGCGGCGGCACCAGCAGCGCGGCGGCCCCACCCGCCGCCGCGGCGACGUCGGCGUCGCUGUCCCUGGAGGAGCUGCGCCGGGGCUGCACCACCUGGACGUGGCGCGGGAUGCGCGUGAACUACCUCGCCAGGGGGCAGGGCCCGCCCGUCCUGCUCGUCCACGGCUUCGGCGCCUCCGUCGCGCACUGGCGCAGGUGAGCCGCGGCCUUUGACCUUUCCUGAUGAAAUCUGAGCUCAUGGCGUGAUCGGUGGCGCGCCCGCGCGAGAUGUGCUCGACCGAUGAACUAGCCGAGCUCGUGAAGUGAUCGCUAAUUGAUCAACUCAUCGGUAGGAACAUUGGGGUGCUGUCUGAAUCCUACACCGUCUACGCGAUCGAUUUGCUGGGGUUCGGCGCCUCGGACAAGCCUCCUGGGUUUUCUUACACGAUGGAGACAUGGGCUGAGGUAACUGUGGUUUCAGUCUGAGACAUGAACGGAGACGUACCAUCUGUACCUAAUGUUUGAACUGAAUCGAUCCUAUUUCUGUGCCAAGCAGCUGAUCCUGGACUUCUUGAAGGAGGUCGUGAAGAGGCCCACGGUGCUUGUCGGCAACUCUGUCGGCAGCCUUGCAUGCGUCAUUGCUGCCUCAGGUUACAAAAUCCCUCAAUGUCAGUAAAUCCUGUUUCUGUAAACUCCGUAAUUAUGAUACUUAUUUAAUUUGCUCUUGGCAAUGAUGAGCAGAGUCCAACAGAGACGUCGUCCGGGGGCUUGUCCUGCUCAACUGCGCCGGCGGCAUGAACAACAAGGCGAUCGUCGACGACUGGAGGAUCAAGCUGGUCCUGCCUCUGCUCUGGCUGAUCGACUUCCUGUUGAACCAGCGGCCGAUAGCAUCGGCACUCUUCAACCGCGUGAAAAACAGGCAUGCCGACCUGCACCGCACUUCCCUCUGAUCUGAGACCUGUUAGCACUUACCCUGUUCUGUGACAAUCUGAACUGAACAGGGACAACCUGAAGGACAUCUUGCUCUCUGUUUACGGGAACAAGGACGCCGUGGAUGAUGAAUUAGUCGAGGUAAGGGUAUCUCCUACCUCCUAAUGUUCCUUCUGUUUCUUCAGCAACCAGUUAGGCUGCGUCUGUUUCUGCAAGAAUUCAUCACUUGGGAUAACUGAAUCCAUGACAUUGGCCCAAGGGUCACAUGCCACUGAUAAAUUGAGUGGAUAAUGCCGAAGCUCAAACGACUGGAGUGAUGACUACACUGAAUCAAUGAUUUCUGAUGAAGGAAUUUUUUUUCUAAACUUUGUGAAAGUAUGUAUGUGCACGCACACGCAGAUCAUAAGGGGACCGGCUGACACGGAGGGCGCCCUGGACGCGUUCGUGGCGACGGUGACUGGCCCGCCGGGGCCGAGCCCGAUAGCGCUGAUGCCGCGGCUGGCGGACGUGCCCGUGCUGGUGCUGUGGGGAGACCGGGACCCCUUCACCCCCAUCGACGGGCCCGUGGGGAAGUUCUUCUCCAAGCUGCCGUCGGAGCUCCCCAACGUGACGCUCCACAUGCUCGAGGGCGUCGGCCACUGCCCGCACGACGACCGCCCGGACCUCGUCCACGACAGGCUGCUCCCGUGGCUCGACGGCCUCCCGCCGCCCGCGGCCGGCGCUGCGGCGGUCUAGUCGCCGACGGCCGGGGGUGACGACGAACUGACGGUGGAUGUAAUUAAUUCUGUAAUUCUCUCUGCUGGUGCUCGUGCGUGUCGAGAAAGUUUAACGACACGGUGAAGAAUUUGAUCCGGGCCGGUGCUCCGUACUGUGUAUACGGCCCAAGAUGGGUUUAGGCGGCGGCAGCCUGUGCUCUGUGGGCUGUGCUACGUGGACCAAGGUUCUUAGCCCACAUCGAUCCUUAUAGGAGUGAAACGUUUAAUGGGCUACCGGGCUAGGCCAGAAACCUCGCAACCUCACGUGGGCCGAUUCGUCUGCCAAGCCUUGAGAGUUGAGCCAAAUGGCGUAGGAGGCGGCAAAUUAUUACACACAAAAUCAACCGAGUUGAUGUUGCCUACCCAUACGCAUGCUCCGCGAUUUUCCAGAUUCUAGAUUAGACUCCUUUUUCUCAGAACCAAAAAAAAAAGUCUGCGAUCCAGAGACGUUCAGCGUCACCAACAUUUCAAACUAGCGAAAAGAAUACUCCUUUUUCUUUGCGAACGAACGGUGGCUUCCACCACAGGCAGCUGAUGGUGGCGCCAUCCUUUGACGGCGCCGUGACUCGAGAGGCACCACAAGUCAACCCCACGAGUCAGCGGGCGCCGGUCAAGGAGUCCAAGGUCCAUGCAUGCGUGGACGUCAAAUGGCGGAGGCGACCACAGACACCAUACGGUUUGCAAUCAGCGUGGCCGAUCGGUCGUCGUCCUGCUAGCGAUGCGUCAUCGAUCGGCCGCCGAGCGAGCCUGCAAUAAGUGGGGGGCCGCCGGCGGUGGCGGCGAUCGAGAGAGCGGCCUCGCCGCCGGUAUUAACUGGCAGUUAUGGGAUCAGCACGGCCCACCGGCCGGCCGGUCGAUCCGUCGUCGCCGGCCGGUCAUGCAUGGGAACAGCUGGAGCGGGGGGUAGUAACUUGAGUAGAGAGGCAGAGCUAGCAUCAUCAUGUACCCACCUCACCGAUGGAAUUGAAUGUAUCCUCCUGCGUAUCAUGGUUUUGCUGUAGCAUUAUUAGAUGAUCCUACUAGUACAUCGUCUCGCAAAUGUAUGAUCUAGCAUAUCUGAUACAAUAUUGAUAGCAAUUCUCUCGGUCUUGUUUCAAAUUUAAAAUAGAAAUAAGUCCAUUUUCUCAUGCUGGAUUAUUAAAAAUAGCGAAAAGUGCUCCCAUAAUGCAAUACUUUAUCCUUCCAAGAUAAUUUUUCGUAGUUGUAAGAAUAUGAACUUCUCCCUUUGAUCACAAAUGGUUAUUGGCAUGUUCUUUGAAACACAAAUUUAUUCACUAUCUUUUUCUGUUACACAAGUACAUUUUGUAACAAAUAGCAAAGCUAUACUAUUAUAAUACUACCCGUUUGAUAUACAUUUACUCGUAUGAUUUUUGAAUAUCUAAACUCAACAUAAAAAAAUGCUCUCUCCAUUUUCUUUUCUAAGGAAUGACGUCAAACUUCGUAAUCUUCAACCAACAAUAAGCCUCUCACAUGAUAUAAUUUUGUUAUGAAAAUUGUAUAAUUGAAUGCAAAUUUGAAUGGACUUUGUUAUGGUUAUGAUCUUGUUGCUACAAACAUCAUAGCAUAAAAAGAAAUCAGGACAUUUAGAGACAGUGCCAAGUCAAAACUAGCCUUAUUUUGCAAUGGAGCAAUCUACAGCCAAAGUUUGAAAUAGUUGACUCCAGGCAACCCAAAAAUAUCACUUAGCUAGUGGGAGUAGUUUAACCCUCAAAAUAUGAGAAUUCAUGACAAAACAAUUAUCCCUAAAAAUUAAGAAAGCAUUAUUCUUGCAAUAAAGAUUAUGAUGUGAGCUACAUACCAUAGAAUUUGAAUUUAAGACUCAACUUGUAUUGUAAAAAGAAUCAUUAGAAGGUGAAUUGACCUAGUUUAAAUAGCGUGGGGAGGAAAAUGCAUGCAAAUUUUAUACAGGGUUAAGCAGACCAGGGAAUUGUUUGGGGUAAUAACUUUAAAUACAGUUUGUGCAUGUGAAUCAAAGGUACCCAUACCUUCUUCUUUACUCUCAUUUAUAGUUCUUCCAUUCAACUUCGAUGAGUAACAUUUCACAAGAACUACCAGCCUGCUUAUCUUCAAAAAAUUACUAACUUGAGGGAUACUGUUCUUCCACCACCCCCUUUGGUUUUACAACAUUGGCGGCCCGGUGAGAAUAUGUAUCAUCAAAAGAGAUGAAAGGAGUCGUCACUUUUAAGGGACCACCUCCCCCCUCAUUCAUAUAGUCAAAUUCGUCAUUGAUUGAGAUAAAUAUAUCUUCAUGAUUCUACAGUUGCUUGUAGCAGACCGAAGAAUGAAACUUUAUCUAACAAAUUUAGACUACACGCGCAAAUCACACACCUAUGUCGGUAUUUUAUCCGCCAACCUACCGAGGGGAUACCCCGAGACAGUAGAUUUGUAGGUGAAGUGUUACCGAGAUCAGGAACUCAAUGGUAAAAGUAAGGACACAAGACACAGAUCUAUACAGGUUUGGGUCGCUAGAGUAGCGUAACAUCCUAUGUCAUGUUUAAAGUAUUGUAUAUUGCGCUCUGCGCUUGGUUGUUGUGUUGCCUAUUUUAGGCUUGAGUUGGUUCUGCCGAUCUAUGUACCCUUGCCCUCUCUUAUAUAUUCCAGAAGAUAGGAUACUAGUCGGUUAGUCGGUUAUAAGGUAGGAUUCCAAGUAGGAUUACAGGGUACGAGUCCUAAUAGGAUUCUUUCUUCCUUUCGGUAGGUACCCGAACAUCUACCUCCAACAACCUAUGAUUUGGAACGCUAAAACUAUUCCAUAUUUUCAAAGUUCUGUUUAAUUUGAUGGAAAAAUGGAUUUGACAAUGACCUAUGAUGGUCUACUAACAAAAAAAAAUCUAGAUCCAUAGAUAAAAUUACAUUAUUAUUUCCGUGAUGUAUUACCCGAAAAAGAAUAAAAGAAUGGAACAUGAAGAUAAAAUAUUUAAGGAAGCAAUUGGGUCGAGUUCCUCCACUUGUAUGAGAAAAUUUACUAAUGAUUCUGUAAAAAGAAGCUAUUUAACCUUUUCUAUUUAAGACCAUAUAAUUUUAUUGUUACUAUUUCCUCUAUCCCAUCAAGAGUUUAUAUAUUUUUAUUGUUACUUUUCCCGGAACAGAGGGAGUACCAGUCAUAUUGCUAUAAUAGUGGACUACAUUUAUUUUAUUAGUGAUCGAAUGAAGUAUCUAUUAUGUUUUAAAUUUGGCAACAUAUAUAAUCUAAAAUAAUUGUGAGCAUGGGAGAGAGAGAGAGAGAGAGAGAGAGAGAGAGAGAGAGAGAGAGAGAGAGAGAGAGAGAGAGAGAGAGAGAGAGGCGUGUGUGUAAGUGUAACCGUAACACGACAAGAUCGAUUGCAGCUAAUAACAGCCGAUCGAGUGAGCAAAAGUCAACACAUCUCCAGCAAAUUCUAGCACCUCCAUGUUGUCGAUUCUCCUGAGUCCACCCUCCCCUCCCCACACAUACACAGUCACAUGCAUGAUGUUAAGUUUCGCAUAUGCAGAUCUGGACAAAAUGCACAUGCUCCCACGGCCAUGCAUGCAUAUGCGCGGUGUAUACAUCCAUGCGCUCGUGCUUCGUGCAUGGUGCAUGGGGUUGACCUGUCAGAGGUGGCCGAACUUGUUCCGGUGCGCUGUCAGCGCUGCACGCACGCUUGUGCGUAACGUACCACUAGCCUGCAAUGGUCAGAGUGCGACUCUGCACAUAGCCUCAUACGCGCAGGAUAGGACCAACCAACGAACGAAGUAACAUUACCAGAAUACCAGCUGGUCAGAUCUCAGAUCAGGCGUCGUAUUUCACGUACGUGCAGUGGGGUAAUACGGGAAUUAAUUAUGGAACCGAUCCGACCACGCAUGAUGCUGGCGAGUGUUGUUGCAUUGCGUACUCUCGCUCGUCUGCCUGCUGACACAAACUUUGGAGUUCUUUGACGAUUUGUUUCCCGCACUUGGACAAAUGUUCAGAUUACACUACAAAUAUUUACCUUUACAUGUUUUUCAUAAAUGACCGAGCGAGGUUAUUUAUCUAAAAUAUAAUUACCAUAUAAAAUAUAUUAGAAAUCUUAUGGCAUUUAUUUGUGUGAACUGUAAACAAAUUGUUCAGGUCAUCGAGACAAUAUAUAUAGAGUGUUCUUCGGUUGAUUAGAGUCAGGUGUAAGUACGACAAUACGUAGAUAUCAGACGUGGAGCCAAUGCGUGCGUGCACACAGCAGACAUGUCCAUGUAGGGUUAAUUAGACCUCGAUCUAGCUACCUCCUAUAAAUGUGCGUCCACCCUCAGUUUAUCGCACCAUAAAUGUUGGUGGCAUGUUAGUUGGGGCAUCACCAAAGCUAACCUUAUUCAUAGGAUAUACAGUACUUGCUCUGUUCCAGAAUAUACUAUAUAGCUACUUAUAGAUUUUUUCCAACUCAAACUCUUUAAACUUUGACCAAAAAUAGUAAAAAAUAUAAAGAUUGGCAACAUAAAAAUAAAGUUUAUUCAUAAAAAGAUCAACUAUCAUAGCAUGUAACAUUUUCUAUUUAAAAAAUAAUUAUUUUUAAAGAUAUUAUUGGUCAAAAAUAAAUUUUUUUGACUUUGACCAAGUCUAAAAGUUAAUAUACUUUGGGACGGAGGUAGUACUGCUUAUGACUACUACAGAAACUAUCUUUCGUUCUCCUUAUUUGUCGCGGCCAGUUUUGGGUCCGGAAUUGAUGAAGGAUUUAGUCUCAGAUCCAACGGCUAGGUGGCGGCGGGGAGCUUUAGUCCCGGUUGGACCCACCAACUGAGACUAAAAGUCACCCUUUAGGGGGUGUUUGGCUUGGAGAGGUUUAUUAUAAGCCCAUAAGCUCCUCACAUGGAGGGGCUUAUUAUAAGCCCAAAGUGGUGUCUGGUUGUUGUGGCUUAUAAAAAACCCCUGUAGUUGGUAAUUAUCUUUUUACCCCUCAUUGAUGCCCCUGCAAGUGAGGGAGAUGAGGGUAGUGGGAGAAAAGAGGGGAUGUUUUGGUGAGGUCCACAGAAAAUAAGGCCGGAAGCAUCCCUUGGAGGGGCUUACGGGAUUAUGGGGUUUAUGGGCAUAAGCCUCACCUAUAAGUCUUCAUGUUUGCAUAAAAAGAGGCUUAUUAGGGGCUUAUUGGUGGGUCUUAUAAUAAACCCCUCCAAACCAAACACCUCCUUAGUUCCGGUUGAUGGCUCCAACUGAGACUAAAGUUGACCCUUUAGUCUCGGUUGGUGGCUCCAACCCGGACUAAAAGAUCUUUAGUCCCGGUUGGUGGCUCGAACCGGGACUAAAGGGUCCUUCACGGGUUAGUUUAAAAGGAAGGCAUCCCAUUCAAAGUCACAUGUGCUGCGUAGGUGGGGUGGUAAAGAAGCUGUGCGUAAGGCAAGAGGUCUCGGGUUUGAGUUCUAGGCACGGAGUAAUUUUUUUUGCCUUUCCACGGAUCUUUAAUCCCGAAUUCGUAGUCCCGGUUAUGAACUAUAGGGUUGGAAACCUACUAGGGAAGCGGGACUAAAGAGCGUGGGAAACCGGAACAACUAGGGGAUUCUGUAUACAUUGUCAACUAGGGGAUUCUGUUCAUGACUAUUUUGAUUCGCACGUAUUGCAUUGCUGUGGUAUGUAUGUCUUUGGAGACCGAAACCGGAGGCGACAGUGAUAAUUAUGACCUCAUUGGAGGCAUUGCUGAGGUGUUCAUCAUUCCCCGCGUUUCGCUAGUUGGAUCUUAUGGUGAAAACCUCAUGUGAUAUAUAUUGGGCCGUGGAAGAGUUAGUGAUACCUGUCCUCCUAAAAGACAGGGGCUUUGGUGCAAUACUACGCAGAGCUAGAUAAUCUAAAGUAACAUCAUAUUCUUCAUCUAAAUUAUCCAUAUAUAUUGCAUUAUAAAACAAUAACAUAAAGUAAUUAAACCCUCUAAAUUUGUAUCCAAUUAAUUAGCCUUCUCUAUCAUUAUUAAAACUAGCGAUAUGUAAAUAAUUGUGAUUAUAAGAAACAUCACAAAGUACUUAUAUAUAUGCUUCUAAACUAUCCACACCUUGCCAUUGUCAAUAUAGAAAAAAGGUAACUGAAGUUAUAUAUCCACGGUGUCUGUCUCCAUAUAGACCAUAUAUAUAGAUGUAUUGAUGAUCAUAUCUAUUUCCAUGUCAAGCAUAUUGCUCAAGCUUAAUAUUUUAACUAAACACAUGUCAAAUAGAAAUGGAGAUGCGAUAUGCAAAAGGAAAAAACUUUAAAUAGGAAAUGAAAGACAUAUAGAUAACUGACAAAUGAUGUGUAUUACAGUCAGAUAAAAAUAAAAAAUAUUUAUAUGAGUAUUUUGUUGGAUUAUGAGUAAACAGGAGAGCAUAAAAAUAAGCAAUUUUUAGUUAAUAUGGGUGUCACAUUAUGCAUAUUUUUUAAUAAUUAUUUCUCUUAAAAUUAGUAGUAUGAACAGAAGCGCAGUUAGAUGGACCAGUGACGUCCAAUCCAUCGGUAGUGUCUGUUGUUUCUGAACUGAAGAUUAUGUGAUCCAUCGCCGCCGCGAUGUACGUGUGAGCUGUGAUCGAUGAGGGUCAGUCACGGGCUUCAUUUGGCCCCUACUCAUAGUAGAGUCCUUGCAUACACGCACCAGAGCACAGGGUCUCCUGCGCUACUUGUGAAAAACCGUCGUCUCUUAUGCCUCCUUUCUCUGCUCUAUAGCCUAUACUACUUGACGGAGAUGGGCAUGUUGUUGUAUAUUCUGUCGGCUAUAUUAUGUAGCUAGCUAGCUGCUGCGUAUGCGUACGUGCUGUUAGUUCAUAAAAAGACAGUACUGUCUGAUGCUUUGUCACCAAAGGCUAAUAAGUAAUUGAGGUGUUGUUCAUCUUAUUCAAGAGUACUGAAAAUAUAGCAUAGCUAAGAUUUUAAACAAGAGGUUUAGGUUUAGCUAGAUUGGCAUGUACUAUGCCCGGCCCAUCAUGUUUCUUCACAAAAAUGGGUUCAUGAACCAUGCUAGCUAGCUAGCUUGCAUGACGACAUAUGGUGCUGGGCGUCCUUUUAUUUCGUAACACUAAUACCUAUAAGCUUUACCAGGGGCGAAGCUAGGAACUUUAAGCAUUGGGGGUCUGCGUAUAGAAAAUUUUCUUUUCCUAUGGGAUCUUUUUAUGGAAUAGCCUUGAUACAAAGGUGUUUUGCUAGCUGGUGGUCAUCGGGGUCGCCGGGCCCGACAAUUGACUGUAGCUUCGCCCCUGAGCUUUACUUACAAUGCUGAUUAACCAUGCUUGUUUGAUUACAUGGUGAUGGUUGUGUGGCUAUCCACGUCAGCACGUAAGUUGGGAGUUCUUUUUUGGCGAAACUUCUUGUGUGGAUGUAGCAUCACUACUAUCUUGUUUCUCAGGCCCAUCUCCAUUACAAGCACUAUAUAUCUCAAAGGUAAAAAGGGAUCCCCCCCCCCACCAAAUUAUGUCUAAAUAAAUCCAUAUGGCCACGUGACCAUAUAUAUUUUAUCGCAUUAUCUAAAAAAAUUGUAUACACAAGUUAAGAAGUGAAUAAAAUUUCCUAAAUGUUUUCAGAAGUGUAAUAUCUGAAACCAAUGGUUGAGAUCUAAUAUUUCUUUUAUGGAAGGAUUCAAAAAAUGUAAAUUGAAUGCAGCACAAUGCAAAAAUCAUGCAGUACGUAUUAGCAGAUGGUCUUUCCAAACAAGUCGUUUUUCCAUUUCAUAAUGUUUGGUCCUUCUCUCAGGAGGCACGCCAUUUUGAAAUACUUGUCACUGUAUUCUGUAGUCGUUGCAAUAUUGCCAAAAUGAGUGAGCCUACUCAGGCUUAGCUUUCAUGCAUGCAUGGACCACCCUUGCACAUACAUGAGCUGCCCGGUCCCAUGCGCGCAUGUGUGCUACCAAUUCAGAAAUUGUCAGUCUUCUCCAUUCCUCAACAAAUCUGACCUUAUUGUUCUAUCAGUCAAUCCUGCCAUCUUCUAGAUCUGACUCUUCUGACAAUAUGUCUUUGGCCCUGCAUAAUUGGAGCAUAUUUAUUUUAAUUCACUAUUGACGUUUUUCUUAUCGAAGCACUUCUGACUAUUUUUUUUACAAAUCUAUGUUAGUGCGUUAAUAAUUUUUGUUUGCUUCUAUCCACUUUUUAAUGAAUAAUCUAAUAGCAUGAUUUUCAUGGAGUCAAUUGAAUGAAGUUUUUUUAAUGGACAUAGUUAAAAAAUAUCAAUACGGUUUCUAGGAAAUGAGAAAAAGAAACAAAGGGAACAACAUGAUGAUGCAAAUGUAUCCUGUCCAAUAGUUACGUGUACGUUUCUGAAAGAUAAAUAUAAGUAUUCUGGUAGCGUGAAAGAAAUGUUUUCUUUUCAUUAAGGAAGUGAGAAGGAUGCUAUGGAAGAAGACCAGAGAAACCAAGGUGACCGGAAUGUUCGGACGAAAAUUACAAGCAGACAUCCACGUCAGAGGCCUGGAUGAGGCAGCCGCCCAAAGAGGGACUCAUCUCGGCCAGUCUCUUUCGCUCUUCAAUUCCACCACUCGGUCCCUUUCCUUCUACUCGUAGGGACCAUGUAUACAAAGGUCUUGUGUACAAUUUACACCACCAACACAGCCGCUCGUUGUAGUAUGUCAUAGCUGCUUUAGGUCCUACACAUUGGUGGCCACUUCUUCCUAAAAGGUUCUCUCCAAUGCACCAUCGAUCAAGGCUUGUUGGACAUAUCUUUUCAAGAAAAAGGGGGCUUGUUGGACAUAGGAAUCUAGGCUGUACUAGAAUUCACAAGAUCUUAUUCAAAUUUUAACAAAAGUUCAUCUGAGGAUCCCACUCAUCCACCCCCUCCCAUAGCAAAACUAACCUCAUCUGCCGAGCAAGAUGGACGCAGCUAGACAUCACCGUAGGUGAUGGAAAUCAUUUCCAUCAUCUGAAGGCUGCGGCCCACGAACUCCUCUUCUCCUUCCUCGCCCCCGCGCCGACCACCAUCUUCGUCUCCAGCGGCUCCCGCCGCCGGCCUCUGCCCCCGCCCAACAAGCACUCCACCGUUCUCGUGUCCUUGCCCGCCCCCGCGCCACCGCCCUUCCACCGCUGAAGCCGCCGCCAAAUCUUCCGCCACCAAGGUUCGCCGCCGUCUCCACCACCAGCAAAGCUUGCCGCACUCCCCCGCCGCCUACCCCGCCCACCGGAUGUUAUCCGCCACCCGCGGCCGGUGGCGCCCCGCCGCCUCGCCCACUACCUGUCGCUACUGCCGGUCCGCCGCCGCCCAAGGGCCCUCCUCUAUAGUCAGAGAACUCACUGGCGAUAACCCCGACCCCGAUGCCCUCCAACCCCAACCCCGAAGCCCCCAAUCCUAACCGCAGCGAGGAGGCCAGCGACCACCGUGAGCUCGAGGAGGAAGAAGAAUUUGCUGGGCCAUUUGGGCUGAAUUUCCUUCGCUUUAGGUGAUGGCUCGCGCGUUUGUCGUGCGAACGAUGUAUAGCCACGGCGAAGCUAGAUGCCCCACCUCAUUAGCCUCGGAAUAGGUCGUAGAAUUUAUAUCUCAUUAAAUAAGGAUGCGCCAAAACUAUCUACAGAAAUUGAUACAAUUUAUUACCAAAUCUACGUUUAUCAUUGCAGCCACAUAUAUACAUACAGUUCGAGCAAACUGUACAAACAGUUCGAGCAGAGGUAGAAAUUAUUAAGGCCGUAGCCAUCGUCAAGUGGGUACCGGCUGCUGUGGGUGGCGGCAAAAAGGGCCCGAUCGGCAAGCAAAACCUCCACUCCAGUAUAUAUCAUGCACCAUUUCAUUUCAUCAAUCGUGCAGGCACCACCCUCUCUUAUCCUCUCCUCCCACUCGCCUCGCUCGCUCCCCCAAAUUCUCCGCCUCCUCAGUGGCGCGGCGCUGCGUGCCCGCCUAGCUCGGCGUUGCCCUAGUUCCCCCGCCCGGUCGCCGUCGCUCCCGGCGCGCGCUAUGCCAUGAGCAGAGACCUCGAGGACGGGCAGGGCGCCGUCGACAGCGUUGUUGCGGCAGCAGCUGGAGAAGGGGAGCGGGGUAGCGAGGCUCCGACCGCGGCGGGCGGCGGUGGCGGCGGGGACGCGCACGACAACGACGUCGUGAUGCCGGGGUUCCGAUUCCAUCCCACGGAGGAGGAGCUGAUCGAGUUCUACCUCCGGCGAAAGGUGGAGGGCAAGCGCUUCAACGUCGAGCUCAUCGCCUUCCUCGACCUCUACCGUUUCGACCCAUGGGAGCUCCCCGGUAAUAAUCUUUAGUAGGGCAUGCAUCUGCAAGCUUCUAUGCUUGUUCAGCUCAUCACCUGGCCUCCAUCUUCUUCGCUAAUGGCUAUCUAGCCUCGAAUCCCGAUCUGUACUAAUUAAUUCGCUGUAAUCGCUUGUGGCGGUGCUCUCGAUUGCUCGGCGGCGGCGCAGCAAUGGCGGUGAUGGGCGGGAAGGAGUGGUUCUUCUACGUGCCGAGGGACCGCAAAUACCGGAACGGCGACCGGCCGAACCGGGUGACGGCGUCGGGGUACUGGAAGGCGACGGGCGCCGACCGGAUGAUCCGCGGCGAGAACAACCGCCCCAUCGGGCUCAAGAAGACGCUCGUCUUCUACUCCGGCAAGGCCCCCAAGGGCGUCCGCAGCAGCUGGAUCAUGAACGAGUACCGCCUCCCGCCGCCGGCAACCGACGCUGACCCCUUGAUCCCCAAGGUGAAUUAAGCCCGGAAUCCCCAAAGAUUAGGGUUUCCAUAAGCUUAAUAUGCAUUUGCAGGGUUCUUGCUCCAUGCCUCCAUCCCAAAUUCCAAAAAUGUUUUUUUUUGGAAAUUGAGGUCAUGCAAGUAGAACUGUUUAUUUGCGCGCGGUUAAUUACCAAUCAUUUGAUCUGCUUUUCGUUCGGUGCUUUUACUUUGGUCGCAUGAUUUUUGUGAAUAUGCAAGAUGCCUAUUCCUUUUCUUUUCAGAUCUAUACAAGCUAGGGGUUCGCUUUUUUUUUUUCCUUCUUCUUUUUCUACACACAUUUGCGCACCACCGGACAUGUACAAAAGCUACAAUCUAGAGUUACCCUCCUAGCAGCUAGAUACCAUGUCCUUCAGAUUCUGCAAGAUCUUUCAUCUUUGCAUCCCUCAACCUCAAGCUAAACUCAUUGAUUUCCAUUUGCAGAAUACUCAGAUCUGAACUUAAUUGAAACACUCAAUUAUCCCUCCUGUCUCAACUCAUCUCACAGUUGUCUUUUUUGACGAGUAGUUGAUGCUUGAUGAUCUUAAAAUUCAUGUAUACUCUAAGCUUAAUCUGUAUACAGUAUAUGUUUUUUUGGUCUAUGAACUGGUGUACUCAGAUGUUUGUUACAGAUUCUUCAGUUUAUAGGAGUACGUUCUUUCCUUUUUCUUUCCAACAAGAAAUGGAUACUGACCAUUUUUCUCUUCUGACGGUGAUGAUACAGUCCGAGAUCUCGCUCUGCCGCGUCUACAAGCGCUCUGGCAUCGACGAUGGCCAUGGGCAGUCAUCCUCCAGUACCCAAGCUUCCUCAGGGCGGGGGGUCUCCUCCCGCACCAGCGUGCCUCCGACCGGUCGGCAUGGAUCCUCACCGUCUUCCACGCCACUGUCGCCGACGCAACUGUCACCGACGCAGCAGCUCAGCAGCUUCCAUCUACUCCAAGGGGAAUGCUCGUCUGCCUCACCGCCGGCGCCCAUCAUGGACCAAGUGGUCACCGUGCACACUGCGCCGCCGCUUCUGCCUCCCCCAAGGCCAUGCACGUACGCGCCGGCGGCGACGACGAUAAGAUCAACAGCGGCAGUUGCGCCGCAACGGGCACAGGGCGCGGCGGUCAUCCCCUCCUCCACGUACUCAUCACUGCUCAACAUGGCCGCCGGCGCUGCGCCUAUGGCCGGCAGCUCAAGGCCCAUCGAUGAGCUGAUGAGCACGCCGCGGCUGGUUAGUCCCAGCCAGGCCUACGCUAACCUCUCGGCCGUGACGGGCAGCCACUUCCUCCCCUUGAUGCCCGCGCCACCGCCGCCAAUGCCACAAAUGACGCCGCUCGGCACGCUGCCGAUGGUGCCGCUACCGCCUUCUGUCACUGACAAGCUCAGCUGGGAUUGGAACCCGGUCCCUGACACGACAGCCCAAGAUUACAAUGCUUCUGGUUUUAAGUGAGCCCAAACUCACUGUUAAAUUCUGAAAACCUGCCAUCAGUGUAGGCUAACAUAUAUACCCUUAGCUUCAAUCAGUCGACAGAGAUUACAAUGCAUGUCAGUUAGUAUAUAUAUCAAGAAUACUAAAUGGAUUGUUCAGGAACUGAAGAUGGUUUGUAAGCAUAAUGUGAGAUCAUUUUAAAAAUCAGCAUCAGCAUGCAAGUUUAAUUCACUUCCGAUUCUUCCAUGCAUGUCUUUAACAACUAAUUAACAUAAUUGGUGUACUUUUCUUAGUAAUUCCAAAAGGUUUUGGUAGGUUUUCUUUUUGCAGUUAAACUGCAAGGCACACAUGAAAUAAUGUGAGCAUGAUUGGACGGAGCCCGUUGCAGCAGGUGUUGUUUCUUUCAGCAUGAUUGGGGGGAAGAAUUGAAGGGGGUGGACAAUGUCAGAUAAAAAGCUUUGCAUGUGCCCACAGGAAUUCUGAAUCUUUCAGAUCUAGAGGUGAUGACUGUCUUGUGCAUCCAUGGAAUGAUUCAUGUGAUUAUUGCAACAGCUUUUGUUCUUUACCAUUGCAACAGUGCUUGGUCAUUGUUCUCAGUCACUUGGUGCUAACAGUCACCGAGCACAUAUACUGUGCUUCUUCUUCUCCUUCUUCUUCUUUUGCUGAAGAGAAAAGGUAAAAACAAGACAAGCUGCAGAUGCAUUUGUGGGUAAGAUUGAGAUGCUGUCUCUGUUGUAUAUAUCUACAUUCUGAUUGAAGGAAAAGACGAUCUAUUUGGCAGAUGAUCAAAAGGCUACUCAUCAGUUUGUUUUAUCGAUCAAUUCACCGAGAUGACUCAUCCAUGUUGGAUGCUUCAUAUUUUGGUGCGUUCUCUGCAGUCUAUAAAUUGUUGUUACAUUAGGCUGUUGUAUGAAUGAUUAUGCAUAUAUGUAGCCAAGGAAGUUAGAUAUAGAUAGCUAACUGUAGAAGAAGCAGCAGUUUCUAGCUAAUUGCAGGUUGCCCAAAGAAAAAAAUAGAUAAAUAAUGCGUGCUAAAUAUUUCGGUCGCAGAUCAGAAACCGCCCAGCCUUCGUUUCGGACCAGGUGAGCAACGAUUUAAUUGCUUUUGAUGUAGCGCUAUAUAUCUCCUCUCAAAGGACAUCUAUAUAUAUAUAUAUAUAUAUAUAUAUAUAUACCCAAUAGCAAGGAUAGUUAGCAAAUAAUGGGCAUCUGAACCAAACACAUAUGUCCUUAAUAGAGCGUUACUGUGCAAUUUAUGUGAGUUUUUACAUAUUGAUGAUCAAAGCUAUUCAAGUUUGACUUGGAAGUAGGUUGGUAUGACCUCUAGCAAAAUUGCUGACAAACUCGCAUUGUAUUGUUAUUCUUUUUUGUUUGAUCAAACAUAGUUAAUUAGCUCCAAAAAUGCCAUCCCUUCAUUAAUUGCUGACAAACUUAAUUAUGUUGUGGCAAGAAAUGAAUGCCAAGCUAGCAAUGCCAUGAAUCUGGCACCUCUUCUGGAUGACAUUUUGAUUUAACAAAUAGGAGUGCUUUCUCACUUCGACACUAACUAGAAAGGCUUGCGGCUUUGCAGCAUGGGGCCCGUGUCCCGCAUGGGGCCCGUGUCCCGCAUCGUAGUAUCAUAGUUGUUGCAGACUUUAGUUUAUACAUGCAGUAGUUGUUGUAUACAUGUAAAUAUAAAAAAAAAUUAAGCAACAUAGUUAAGAUAAAUCCACCGUUUCGUUAUUUUCGCAUAGGUGUCAUGGUCUGCCCGUCGUUGCAUUUGGUAUAUAUUUUGAGCAUUCUAUUGUCGUGACGCUACUAUCUAAAUAGUAUAUUAUUUUGGGUAUCAAAAUGGAGGUAUGACAUUUGUUACUGCAUUUAUUAUGGUGAAAGAAGGGAUAAAAUAAUUUAUUAGGGAGGGUGGAGCACAAUUAGUCGGAUAUUUAAUGUAUUUACAAAAUCAUGAGGCAAUUAAUAGAUGUGAUAUUUUUUAAGGAAGUAAUGGUUAUAUUAAAAUAUGCCGCGUUAUUGUGGAGGUCGCAUGAGAAGCUAUAGAAGAACGGUAGUAUAAUAUUAUAUUUUUAGCAAAAUAAGAUGUUAUGUUGAACGAAUUACGAAAAUAUUUUGAACUUACAAUUUUGUUAUGUAACAAAACUUUAGUGCGUUAUUGUGGAGGUCGCAAGCUAUAGAAGAACGGUAGUACAAUAUUAUAUUUUUAGCAAAAUAAGAUGUUAUGUUGAACGAAUUACGAAAAUAUUUUGAAUUUACAAUUUUGUUAUGUAGCAAAACUUUAGGUUUUAAAAUUUUGAGCAAUUUUUGUAUUUAAAAUUUUUAGAAGCAUUUCGAAUUUGAAAUUUUACUAUAUAGUAAAGAUGCAGAUUUUGGAAUUCUAAGCAACUUUUGUAUUGAUUAUUUUUUGAUUUGAAGAUGUUUUGGUGUCCAAAUUUUAGAUGCAACGGGUCGCAUGUAAUUAUCUAUGCAAAUGAAUUGUGAAAGCAUUUUGAAUUUUAAAAUUUACUCUAUAAUAAAUAUGUAGUUUUGAAUUUUAAGUCAAGUUUUAUGUUGAAUAACUUUUGAUUCCAACGCAUUUUGGUGUUUAAAUUGUACGUAUAAUGUUAUUCGUGUAGAAAUAAUGAAUGUAACGGGUUGCGGUUUGAUUUAAUUAAAAUGCGAGGGUUUUUGUAAAACUUUUGCUGGGAGAGGACCAGGAUGGCGGUUUGAUUUAAAAAAACUGAAGGUUUUAUUUGCAACUUUUCCUAAAUCUGAAAUGUUGGACCGCGGGUUGAUUUUGGAAAAGUUGAGAGCGCUUUCGCAAAAUUACCUGAGAUAGGUGGCCGGACUGCGGGUUGAUUUAUCUAAAGUUUAAGGAUUUUUUUUAAAGUGGCUGGGAAUUUUAAGAUCCGAACUAUCCGGCCCGCGACGUGGCAUGCUCUUUGGCACUCUUUUGGUGCGUCAAUCAUAUAUAGAGAUUGUCAGAGGAAUUCUCCAGCCGGGUGGCGGAAUGCACUCGCCUAAUCCUAGUCUAGGAUAGGUUUGGGGAGAAUCAAGGAACGCUAGAUCAUGAGGCGUAUGAACACGAAAAGCACACAAGAGAUUUAGAGUGGUUCAGGCCGCCGGAGCGUAAAACCCUACGUCCACUAUGUGUUGUACUGCCUGAGCUUAUGAAUCUUGUGUGUUCGUGGAACUUCCGUGAAUCUUAGUAAGCCUGUGCGGGUGUGCCUAAGCUUGAUAGAGCACCUGAGCGGCUUGAGAGAGCCUUUUCCGACUUGUGUUCUAACGCGCGCGCUCUCCCUUUUAUAGGCUCAAAGGGAGCGCGUACAUUGAGCGGGGUCCCGACAGGUGGACCCGGCGAUAUAUUAAAUAACGCACACAUCGGAGCCUGAAAUGCUACAGAUCGGAAAUCUUCCUCAUCAGGCUCCGUGCGUGUCCUCCGUCUGGAUUUGGUCUCGUGCCAUCUCGCCUGCACAGGGUCUAUUGUGAAUGACAUGCACAGUGGGAGACGUGCUGACACUGUUCGGUCACAGUUCCCGCUGACAGGCGAAGGGGCUAUGUUGACCUGCCGUGCUGUAGCCUCCGCGCGCACUGUAACAGCGCACGCCGCGGCCCUCCUGCAGCAGAUCAUAAUGACUCCUUGCUCACGCGCGCGGCGCUGUGAUGUGACUAUUCGCCGCCCGCCCACGCACGCGGCGCGGCGACAUGACGCACCGUCUCGGUAACUGGCGGGCUUAUCGUGAUGUCGGCCAUACCUGCCCGUCGUGUCAGAGGGCAGCCCAUGCUCUGUCUCGGGCACGCCCACCCCAACCACCCGCAUUUAAUACGGUAGUUGGGUUGGCUUCCCGUGGAAGACUGGAACCCUUCGGACACGUGGCGGCGCUGGUUUAGCAGGUGCCUCCCCAAGGGCACGUGGCGGUACCAGACCUCUUCUCAGGUGGGAAGGGAGGUCCGGGCCGCACCAUCUGGCGCUGGCGCACAGGUCCCCUGGGGGUCCGGCUUCCACACGUAGGGGCCAGGACUACCCCGCGGUGGUCCGGGCCCGCGGUAGCCGUUUCUGAGCACCAUGUCCUCCUGGGCACGUGGAAGCGCCGGACCUGCUAGACCACGGGGUGAGGUCCGGAGACCGUGACCCCAGCUGUCAGGCUCGGGCCGUACGCCCGUCACCCAAAGGUUUAGUGCGAGGUUAUGGAUACCCUCGCGCCUCUCGGGCUGGACACACUGGCAGGAGGUACCCCUGUCUGUCUGUAUGUACCAACAGAUAUUUUAUAUCCAUGAUAGCUGAAAUGAGGAAGCAUGCAGGAAAGCCACAUGAAAUCAUACACAACUAAAAUGCUGAAAAAUAGGAUAUGCCAAGUUUGUCGAUUUGUAUCACCGUUUUCCUACUUGUAGUUCACAUUAGAGAACUGUGAAAUAGUGUUUAUAUGCAACAAAUAAAAACAUAAAAAGACUGCAUGCCAUGAUGCCAAGAAUUAGUGACUUGUUGAGAGAGCACGGGAAAGUAUUUAAGAUUAAUAAAGUAUUUCAUAACAGUUCUAAAAUAUAAUUAAAUGGUAAAUUAAUCAUGUACUUCCCUCUGAUCACAAAUAUAAAUCCACUAAGCUCUAUACUAAUUCAAUGUUUAAAUUUAACAUCAAAUUUGGAAACUUGACAUAGAUUAGAAACACGUGAUGAUUUAUGGGCAUUACUAGAUUCACACUUAAAAUACUUUCAUAAUAUACAACUCUGAUAGUUUAUUUAAGAUGAUAUAUCUUUAUAGACAUUUUCAGUCAAAGUGUCAUAUUAAAACCUGUGUCAAUGUUGGAACAAUGGACUUAUUUAUGUGAUUAGAGGAAGUAAAAACUUUUUAAAUCCAUGUAUAUAUAAUUUGACAAAAUGAGGGUAAAGGUUUAUGCUUGUGGCUAUUAGAUGGAAAUAUAGUUUGUUACGGACUCUUCCUUGUUUAGAGAGAGCUGCGCCUCUCUGCCGUGAUUCAUGUGUAUUGGUUGUGGAUUACAAUCCCAACCGUGUAUAUCUCCAACUCUCCUGUAACCUCAUACAUGAGCAAUAUAUAUACACCGGCUGUGACCCCUGAGGGCACUGAGCCAAGCCAAUUAACAUGGUAUCAAAGCCAAGGGCUUAAUCGAUCUAUGUCCAUUGUUACAUCCUUCUCCCCUACCGCCGCUUCAACUGCUGCGCCGUCCAUCAUGUCGACCACCACCGUUCCCCUCCACCACACUGUCAACAUCAAGCUCAACAAAAACAACUUCUUGCUAUGGUGUGCGCAGCUUCUUCCAUACCUACAGAGCUCCAGGUUGAUCAGAUAUCUUGACGGUAACCUCGUCGCACCGGCGCCACAGAUCGCGGCGUCCACAGAGACCGGCGCUGAGCUGGUCCCCAAUCCUGCCUAUGAGCAAUGGUAUAAUACCAUCGAUGUCUGAAGAGGUGCUUCGUGACGUCAUUGAUGCCACGACAUCAAAGGAAGUUUGGGAUUCCAUCCGGACGAAAUUUUCCUCCUCGACCCGUGCUCGCACAGUGCAGCUACGCGUCGAGCUCGCCACCUUCAAGAAAGGUGAUCUAUCGGCGGCAGAUUAUUUUUCCAAAGUCAAGAACCUUGCUUCAGAGAUGGCUGCUACAGAUGCCGCUCUUCAUGAUGACGAAGUUCUGGCGUAUCUUCUCGCCGGGCUUCCCUCGGACUACGACCCCUUCGUUACAUCUAUAACGACCAAGGACUCCGUCUCCCUCGACGACGUCUGCGCCCACCUCGUCACCUUUGAGGCGCGUCAACUACGGCAUCAUGCAGAUCUUCAGCUACAGAUGAGGUCAUCUGCCAACUAUGCUGGCCGAGGUGGCCAGUCCAAGGGCCAUGGUGGUGGGCGCUCCCGCGGCCGUGGAGGUGGGCUCUCUCGUGGGGGUGCACUGUCACGUCCCAACGACCACCGCCCGCCCAGCUCUACUCCGCGCCCUAUCUGCCAGAUUUGCAGCAAGAUAGGUCACACAGCCAUACGCUGCUGGUACCGCAUGGAUGACUCCUACUCCGAGGAGCCUCCUUCCGUGAACGUCACCACCUCAUCCUCGAAGGUUGAUACCGACUGGUACACCGACGCCGGCGCCACCGACCACAUCACCAGCAAUCUGGAUCGUCUUGCCGUCCGUGAACGCUACCAUGGCAAUGAACAAGUCCAAGUCAGCAACGGAUCAGGUUUGUGAAUUACGCAUAUUAGUCAUUCCUCUCUUAAUACUGCCGAUCGUCCUCUUGCAUUACGUAAUAUCCUUCAUGUUCCCAACAUUACUAAAAACCUCCUUUCGGUUCACAAAUUUUCACGAGAUAAUGACAUCUUCUUUAAAUACCAUCCUUGGUAUUUUUCUAUUAAGGACCGACAGUCGAGGAGAAGCCUACUGGACGGUCGAUGUGAGUCGGGCCUCUAUUCAAUCAAGUCCACCGAUCUCCCUGCGCUCAAGCAUGCCCUUGCAGAAAGAUCUACUACCUACUCUCAUUGGCAUGCACGCCUUGGACAUCCUGCAACCCCAGUAGUCCGGUCUAUUUUGCAUUUAAAUAAACUCUCAUGUUCUAGAGAUAAUUCAUCAUCAGUUUGUGAUGCGUGUCAGCUUGCCAAGAGUCACCAGUUGCCUUAUACACAUUCUAUUCAUCAUUCUACUUCUCCUUUGGAGAUUAUUCACUCCGAUGUUUGGGGCCCGGCCCCUAGCUCUGUUGGUGGCUUUUCUUAUUACAUCAGUUUUAUCGAUGAUUUUAGCAAAUUUUGCUGGAUUUACUUAAUGCAUGCCCGUACUGAUGCUCCUCGUAUCUUCAUGGAGUUUAAGACUCAUGUAGAGCGUCUCAUUGACAGAAAGAUCAAAUGUGUUCAAUCCGAUUGGGGUGGGGAAUAUAAAAAAAUUCACAACACCUUCUUUCACUCCUUGGGUAAUACCCAUCGUGUCUCGUGUCCUCACACCCACCAGCAAAACGGCUUAGCCAAACGGAAACAUCACCACAUUGUAGAGACUGCGCUUGCUCUUUUAGCUCAUGCACAUAUUCCCAUUAAAUUUUGGGAUGAUGCUUUUCUCACCACCACCUAUCUCAUAAAUCGUAUGCCUACUCGUGUCAUCGAUAAUACUAGCCCUUUAGAGCGUUUUUUUCACACUCCUCCAAAUUAUUCUAUGCUGCGUGUUUUUGGAUGUGCAUGUUGGCCCCAUCUUCAGCCCUACAACAAGCAUAAGCUAUCCUUCCGAUCUAAGGAGUGUGUGUUCUUGGGCUAUAGCUCACUCCAUAAGGGGUAUAAAUGUUUUGAUCCCGAUUCUGGCCGCAUUUAUAUUUCACGAGAGGUCAUUUUUGAUGAAAAUGUUUUUCCCUUCCAGCGUUUGUCCAUGUCUCCUAACCCUCCAUUACGUGACAAACAAUUGGACGAUCACAGUAUUUUGUUGAGCUAUGAUCCUAUGCAUGUUCGUUUGCCUGCUGUUUCUUUGGAUGCAGAUAAUCCGGCGAAUGCCUGCGCCACCUCCCGCUCAGCUGCAGGAGCCUCCGGAAUAAGUGCCAAUGAUGGGCACUGCUGCGCCUGCUCCACCUCUGCCGGUGAAUCCUUCUCGGGUUUCUGCGCCGACAGCGGCUGAUCGCCCUGCGCCCUGUCCGGCCUCAGUGGGCGCGCAACCACCUGCCUGCACCCUGUCUGGGGCCGCUUCUGUAUCCCCUAGCGGGCCCGCCUCUGCUCCCCAUGCAGCGGCACCACCUGGUGGCUCCAACACCACUACGGCCACCCAGGAUGCUGUAUCAACAGAUUUGGACCCUGCUUCUGGUUCUGAGGAGCAUGCAAUACUGGAAUCGGUGUCUCACCCUGCUGCACACCCAUACGGCACCAGACUUCAACACAACAUUCGCAAGCCCAAACAACGCACAGAUGGCACUGUUACAUACUUUGCGGUACGGUCCUCUGAUUCAGCUUCUACUUCUCACAUUGUUGCUCUUAAUAAUCCUCUUUGGAGACGGGCUAUGGAUGAUGUGUAUCGUGCUCUCAUAAAAAAUGAUACUUGGCACCUUGUUCCUCCUCGACCUGGCUUGAAUGUGAUUGAUUGCAAGUGGGUUUUCACAAUAAAGCAGAAACCUGAUGGCUCGGUUGAUCGCUAUAAGGCUCGACUAGUUGCUAAAGGAUUCAAACAGCAAUAUGGUGGGGAUUAUGAUGCCACCUUCAGUCCGGUUGUGAAGCCCACUACAAUUCGACUUCUUCUAUCAUUGGCUGUCUCUUGUGGCUGGCUUAUUCGGCAAAUCGAUAUUCAAAAUGCCUUCCUUCAUGGUUUUCUUGAUGAAGACGUCUAUAUGAAGCAACCACCAGGUUUUGAGGAUUCCUCUCGUCCGGAGUAUAUUUGCAAGCUUGAUAAGUCACUGUAGGGCCUAAAACAAGCACCCCAUGCAUGGUUCUCUCGCCUAAGCACCAAGUUACUUGCCCUGGGUUUUUCGGCCUCCAAAGCAGAUAUCUCUCUGUUUCUUUUUAACAAAGGUGGCAUCAAGAUCUAUUUUCUUAUAUAUGUUGACAAUAUACUCAUCAUUAGUUCAUCUUCAGUGGCAAUUGAUCGCUUGCUUGGGCAACUAUGAGAUGAUUUCGCGGUAAAAGACCUUGGACCCCUGAGUUAUUUUUUAGGUGUUGCUGUACAUCAUCAUGCCGAGGGUCUCACCUUAACGCAGCACAAGUACAUCCAUGAUCUUCUUUCCCGGACUAAUAUGCUUGCUGCUAGUGCUGUUGUCACGCCGAUGGCCCCCGAUGAAAAGAUUACUCUAACAGAUGGGGAACCUUUGUCGCCAGAGAACUCCACUUGGUAUAGGAGUGUUGUGGGAGCACUCCAGUAUCUAUCACUGACUCGACCGGAUAUCUCGUUUUCAGUCAAUCGUGUUUGUCAAUAUAUGGCUGCCCCUACUUCAGUGCAUUGGUCUGCAAUUAAACGCAUUCUUCGUUAUCUCCGAGACACAAUUGAUUAUGGCUUGGGUUUUAUCAAGACUGGAUCAUUGCUACUUAGCGCCUUUUCAGAUGCAGAUUGGCUGGUAAUUUGGACCAGCGUAGUACCGUUGGCUACGCCAUCUUUCUUGGGGGCAACCUUAUUUCUUGGAGUUCUCGCAAGCAAGCAAGCUACUGUGUCCAGGUCGAGCACUGAAGCUGAAUAUAAAGCCGUCGCUGAUGCCACAGUAGAGAUCAUCUGGCUUCAGGUUCUUCUUCGCGAACUUGGAAUUUCUCUCCCACGUCCGCCGAGCUUAUGGUGUGAUAACAUAGGCGCUACAUAUCUCACGGCAAAUCCAGUUUUUCAUCGUCGUUUGAAGCAUGUGGAGGUUGAUUAUCACUUUGUCCGUGAGCAUGUUGCCAUGAAAUAGCUUGAAGUUGGCUCCAUAUCGUCGAAGGAUCAAUUGGCUGACAUCAUGACAAAGGCGCUUCCUACUCCGGCACUCAAGCAUUUCAGGAACAAUCUGAACUUAUUUCCACGGCGUCCAGAUUGAGGGGGGUAUUAGAUGGAAAUAUAGUUUGUUACGGACUCUUCCUUGUUUAGAGAGAGCUGCGCCUCUCUGCCGUGAUUCACGGCGUAUUGGUUGUGGAUUACAAUCCCAACCAUGUACAUCUCCAACUCUCCUGUAACCUCAUACAUGAGCAAUAUAUAUACACCGGCCGUGACCCCUGGAGGGCACUGAGCCAAGCCAAUUAACAGUGGCAUUUUGCCACUUUCUUCAUCUAGAUCAGAUAAAAAUUAUAGAGCAAUUUCCCCCGUUGAUCUCUUGAUUUGUAGUCAUUAAUUUGAAGUAUGUGCAUAUUGUUAGCUGGUUAAUCAUCAACCGGCAGUUCUCAUACAUAUUCGAAAGAUCAACGAUCUGUCCUGUGCUAAGCAACUUGUCAUGCAAAAGAUCCAUCCUCUUCCUUUUGGGCAUCCACACAUCAUACGCCUUCACUAACUGAAGAAAAAGCUAGCAUUGACUCUUAUCAUGAGCUACAGCAGUAAAGCUAACUGGUCCAGCUCCGAGCAAUGCUACUAUGCAUGCAUUCCGUUUGGAUCAUAAUGCUGCUGGCGAUGAUGAUGAGCAAGCAGCAUCACCAUGACUUCCAAAUUUCCACAAUUCUCGUCUCAUCUCUAGCCCCACGCAUGUGCAUACCACACUGCAAAGAUCGAUGAUGGCCGCUAUCAGAUGCGUAAGAUCAGGAGCUUCAGUUUCCGGUGUUGCAGACGGCCGGUGUUCAUCAGAAUUACACAACCCCAAACAAUUGGUCGCCGUCAGGUUAAGCCACGAAAACCUUGCUAUCAUUGGCCGUCCGUCUGAUCGACACGACGCAGGCAGAACUGACCGAAUACUUUGUAGAGCUACAGAGCGCAACUCUUCGAACAAUUUCGACACGUGCUGGAAGUCUCUCUCUUGUUGUGUUAUCUGCUUCGGAUGUGAUGGACAGCAAGUAGUACCUACCGACCUAGCUAGUUCUGGAACCCCUGGGGAAAAAUUAAAAUCUUCAGAACAUUGUCGGCACAGCACGCUUCCAGGUCAAGCACGUCCAUGACAGUCCAAAGAAUGCGUGUACUAACCAAUGCGAGAAUGUCUUCAUUGAACAGUCAUGUGUGUACCUGGUCUGGUUUACUGGUGAAUGUCUCCAAGUUGGCUAGAGGAGGCAACCAUCAGGCAAUGUAAUCAAUGGAAGCUCUUGCGAUCUGUCCUGAAAAACACACGAGGCUAGAAGUUCAUGUACAGCUAUGUAGCAAGGUACGCAACUAACAGGUCCCAAGGAGAAAAUUCAGAGAAUGUCCGCCUAUUAUUCUUAUUCCAUAAACCGUGGUUCGUUCAAUCCUUGCUUCCUUUGAUUGCGCUCUGUUUGUCAAUAUUCUGUCCUUCCACAUGAAUCAGUGCAGGAGCAGGACAUGCCUUGAACCUUUCCAGUGUUCUGCACCAAAAACUUCUGUACUUCGGCGGAGACGGGGUAAAGGAUGCUCAGGCUGUCAGGCUCAGGCAGGGCCUUGCACAGAUUGUGCUAGUGAACUUCUGAAGAACUAGCUGAAGUGCUGAUGAACACCAAGAGACUACAGUAUAUGGCACAAUGAUGAGGACUUCAGAAUUCACAGUUCUUUUACUUCGAACAAGGGGAAAGUGGCUGGCUAUAUAUCUCAUGGAGCAAGAUCAUCAACACAUAGCACCAGGCACCAACUUACUGAGUUUAAAACCAGAAUUUUAACGCAGAGAUUAGCGCGGUCUUAGCUUUUCUCGUACUAUAACAUUGGAAUUUUAUCCCAAAUGCUAGAACCUGCUGCUAUAUAGUUACUGGAAUGUCCUGUUCUUGAAAAAGGUGAGCAUGCAGAACAAAUACCAAACUGAAAAGACAGGAUGUUCUUGGAGCAUCUCGCUGCUACUGCCAGUAGGCAUUCUUCUUCAAUGGACGGAAGCUACUGUCAGCCUGCCACCAUGCUGGACCAAAGGCCAAAAGUGGAGUUCUCCCUACUGUGCAAGGAAGCAUGACAACGCAAAUUGCAGACUGCUUUCAGAAUUCAGACACCUCCACAUCCUGGAGCCACUUGAUCCUGGAUUGAGUUAAUCCAAAUGUUCCAUGACAACAUAUGCAGUGACUCUAGUAAGGUUACUGUGCCCCGUCAACGAAGUGGCCUGUGUAAAAGUGCAACUGUAAUGUCAUGGGAAGUCUGCUGAGCUGAUUAGGCCUAUUGGGCUAGGCCCAUUAGGGUUAAGUUAGGGAUAAGAUUGGAUCUCUUACUUAGGUGUUAAGUUAGUCUCUCUAUAUAAGGAGAGGAGAAGUACCAAUCAGUAAGAUCGUUGCCCCUGAGGUGCGGCUACCACCUAUCAGUAAGAUCGUGCUGCUUGGGUACGGUUUAGGACCAAUAAGAUCUCAGUUGUCAUGACUACUUCUCGCAUGAACUCAAGCGUGUUUCAAAUCAAAAAAUAAAUGGAAUUAAAAAGUUAGCUAAACAAUAGCUAUGAACACAUAGGUACUGAUGGGAUAAAAUUUUGAAGCCGUGGUACUAAGGGAAUUUCAGAAAAAUCUAUGGUAUCAAGAAAAACCAUGUUAAUUUGUAUAGUGCUGAGGUAAUAUUGGCUCUGUUACUUUUGGUUUUGGAUUGCUUUUCUUGCCCUUCUAAUAAGUACAUGUGAGAUAUGCUAAUUUGUUUUGAAGUGCUGAUCCAAGUUUGUAAGAUAUUCUGAAGAUCACCGGAAAAGACCCAAAGCUUCGCUUGCAUGGGUGCUGGAAUGCUGGUACAAGAUUCACAUAUUGACGUGCCGUUCAUUUAAUUUGGACCUUUUCAGCUUCCACCUUACAACAGUUUUCUUUUUCCCGACAAAAAAACAAGAGGGUGGCUAACCUUAUUGGUUAACUAAUAAGCAACCAUCUACCUAUCCAGUGACUGAUGUUUGCUAUAAAUCUAUCAAGCGAUAAAACAAUAGCAUGCAGCCACGUUGAGCAAGUAUUUUUUUUUUGGUGCUGCUACAGAUAGGCAUCGGAGGCUCUCACCCUCUCGCGAGCCUUAUCCGAAGGGCUAAGGCUGACUCCAACGGGUGGCAGCCAUUUGGCCCAUCCAUCCUGGAGUUUGCCUGCCCCGUCAAGUCUACAUUGCCAUCGAUGGAGCUGCUGUUUCCAACGGAGCAGCUAAAAUAGCUGGAGACGUUGGGCCCAGGCUGGUUCGCGCCACGGAAAGGAAAAUGCCGCGCUAGUUGCCGCCACAGAAGCGAAAACAAGGCCCCGUCGGCGCACCUCGUCCGAGCUGGCGGCGGCCUCUCGCGCCUCGCCUCCUAGCGACGGAUCGGCGGCGUAGCCCCCGCCGGCCGCCGGUACUCGCGUGGCCCAACUCCGCCUUUGAGGUGCGGCGGAGGCGGAGGAGCUCCGCCUCGGGGACGCACCCGAGCGGCUUCCCCUCAACGACGCAGCGGCGGAGGAGGAGCUCCGCCUCGGGGACGCGCCCGAGCAGCUCCCCCUCAACGACGCAGCGGCGGAGGAGGAGCUCUGGCUCGGGACGCGCCCGAGCAUCUCCCCCUCAACGACGCAGCGGCGGAGGAGGAGCUCCGCCUCGGGGACACGCCCGAGCAGCUCCCCCUCAACGACGCAGCGGCGGAGGAGGAGCUCGGCGUCGGGGACGCGCCCGAGCAGCUCCCCCUCAACGACGCAGCGGCGGAGGAGGAGCUCCGCCUCGGGACGCGCCCGAGCAGGUCCGCUGAAGACGCGGCGGAGGUGGAGGGGACGCGCCUAAGCAGCUCCGGCGCCGGUCUACUCCGCUCCGAAGCCCGCCGCCGUUCUACUGUACGAAGCCCACCACCGAUCUGCUAUUUCAACUCCAUUCGUAUUGAUUUCUCUGCAAAUCUGCUACGGGAUUGUAUGAUUUUUCUGAUUCAAUUAGUACGUCGAUUAGUUCAGUCCGAUUGUUGGUUUGGAGUAUCAUCCUAUCGAUUGAUGGACAAACCAACAGGCAAUUUGGUUCGUAGCCAUGGUCUCGCUUGUAGCUCUGCGCAUAACUUUUGUAAUUGAUAGAUUAUUGUAUUGCUUACAAUGACCAGUAAAUGUUUUAUUCCCCUAAAGUGUGACCAGUACAUAAUUUCCGUUUCAUAUUGGCUUGUAGCCACGAAUCCACCAUGCUCUUCCUAUCACUGCAAUAGCUAGCAUGCAUGCUAUGCACACUCAAGGUUCUCCUGUUUGAGGCUGCUCCCAGCAUCAUAUCAAUCAGCUAGCGUGAUAUCCCUUUUGUGGAUUGUAUUCAUACGUGGAAAAAUACCUAGUUGUCAUUAAUUAAUUUCUACUCCUGUAGUGGUAACAUCAUAUAGCAUGUCUCAUAAAGGCUUGACAAUGGAAAAGUGGAGUACUUAAGUCAUCGCCUACAGCUUACCGAUAAUAGGGUCCUUGCUAACAUGCAGAAAUGCUGAGCAGAUUGCCCUGUCUUCCUCGUGGGUGAACGACCUUCCUCGCUGGGCAAGCCUCUUCUUCCCCUUUCUGUUUGAGACUUGGGUUCCAUCGACCUCUUCAACCUCUGGGUCCUCGGUGGGAGCAAGAGGAAAUGAUGCAUUGACAAGAGAACUUGCAGGCUGAGAUGGUACGCCCAUGUUAUGCAUUGAUCCACUAAAUGCACCGUUAAGGUUGUACUGAAAAAAACAGAGAUGUGAUUAGUGAAACAUUUAAAGUACGAUAUGCAAAAUCCAAAAGGAAGGAAACAUACCUUCUCAAGUUCCCUUAUGGUUGAUGGCAGAGGUAACGACAACUCAUUGGAAUUGUCACCUCCUUGAGACGGACCACCCUGAAACAUGUAACCAUUGAAUUGGUUGUCCAUCCUGGAAUAAUGAGUGUAUACUUUGUUAAAUAAUUGACUCCAUUACUGCAAGCAAGUAGGGCAUAUUUAUAAAUCGAACGAAAUCGUGCCCACAUCUAAAUCAAAGGAAAUCGAACACAAUCAGCAUCACAGGCCACAAAAGAUGCAGUGAAACUGAAAUUGAAAUGAAAAAUCAUAGAAAUAUCAACUGUCAAUUUCGUUUGGAAGUUCAAACUUCCAGUUGCAAACUAAUUGUAGAUCAUUUAAUUAUAACUAAAGCAUUGAAAAAAAUAAACACAUAUUCCAACUGCAAUGGAAAUUAGAGCUCUAAAGUUUCAGCUUGUGAUCAAUCCAUGGCCCGUGGAUAUCGAUCGAAGGAAAAAAAUAAAUACAUACGUCCUUAAGUAUCAUUAACUAACUCCUUCCUGUCUUGCAACAGGCCAUGUCUGUUACUACGACUGUUGGCCUCAUACAAGACAUACUGCAAGUUUGUCUUUGCUAUCAACAUAAAUUCAAAUCGUUGUUCCUUUCAAAUAUUCAGCAACGAUUCGAGCUAUAUAUAUUGUGCUCAAAAGAUAAAGAGAAAUAUGAGCGACUCUCCACAUGCAAAACAUAAUCUUUUCUGUGAUGCAGUUAAGUAGCCAGCACUGAAUCUUAAGCUUUCCAUAGCGAUACUGCAAUAGUACUAUGUAAUGGACAGCAAAAGAUAUUGGGGAAACAAUAAAAGGGAUUGCGAAAACAAAUUUGACACAAUUUUCGUUUUAGUAGUGAGGGUGCUCAGAAACAUUUCCUUUGCUUAAGCAUUUGCUGCGCUACAGAUCGAAAUCAGGGGCGAACCAGCAUAGGACAUGGCGCUACAGAUCAAAAUCAGGGGUGGAACCAGCAUAGGACAUGUACACCCGAUAAUUCUUGCAAACGAAAUCGAAGUUAGUACGUAUAUAUUGUAACUGGAUUCAGAUCCGGCGCUAAAAUAGGGUUUGGGGUGCUCCGUCUCGCACAGCAGAAGAAAAGAGAGGGGGCGGGCAUACCUGGACGAUGCGCUCGUCGCCAGCAAAGGGAGGGAGGAAGAACGCACCUUGUCCGCGCGUCGGUGACCGAGGUGAGGAGGACGGGAUUCGCGCCGGCGGCGGCCGAGGCGAGGAGGACGAAAGUGCGCCGGCGGCGGUGAAGUGGCCGCUGGGAUCGACCCUGCGGGGAGGAGGGGAAGGCGCGUCGGUGGCCGAGGCGACGAGGACGGGAUGCGCGCCGGCGGCGGUCGAGGCGGGGAGGAGGGGAACUCCAAACCGAUGGAGACGGAGGGGGAGCGGGAUGGGGAGAAGGAAGCCGCCUUGCUGCCGUUGGUACGACUGGGCCCAGCACCGAUCGCUAGCGGCAACAGUACCGGCCAGUUUAGCUGCUUCUCCCUCCUGCCGCUAUUUUGGCUGGCCCAAAUGGCUAGCCUGUUGGAACACCCCUCCGAGCGCUACAGUACCCACGUGGGAGCCAUUUUUGCUUUGCCUGCCCGGAUGGCUGCUCCGUUGGAGUCAGCCUAAGAGAAGAAGCAGAAGGGCGUGUCGCUCCUGCUCCGCCGCUGUCUGCCGGAGCUCCAGGGCGGCGGCGCACAAGGCCGGCGGCGAGCCUCGCGCUGGCAGCAGCGAGCUCCGGGCUGUGAGCUUCGGGGCGGCGGUGAGCCUCCGCACAGCCUCCUCUCCUGGCGCCAACUCGGGGCGGCGGCGCUCCGGUGUCCAGCGGAUGCGCCUCUCCUCCCCACACCGCGCUCCUUCCCUACAACCGGCCCACCCCACGCCGCGCUGCUCCCCAGCGCGCCCGGCAUCCUGCCCCUGCAGACCAGCGCGCGGCGACCCGCCCGAGCAGUACAGCGCCGGCGACCCGCCUCCUCUACAGCGCCUGCUUCCCUCUCUGAUUCUUCUCCACCGAACAAUCAAGUUGCUAGCAGCUGCAGCCCUUCCAAAUUUCUCACUCCCUCUCUCACGAACGAGCGCUGCAUGUGUUCCUUGCCCUCCCCCUUGUUGGAGUAGAAUUUUUUGAGCGUUGCAAUGGUUGAUUCGAGAUGUUAUGGUCGAGAUUUGCGUUGCCGUAGGGGUGUUCUUCUUGCUGGUUUGAUUUCAUGGAGGCAGCUUUUUUCAUAUUGCACCUCCAUGAUUUUGAUGUUGCAAUAAUCUUACUUUGAUGUUGCAUGAAUUUGAAUGGAUAUUGCACGAAAUGAAAUAGAGCUACGAUGUCGCAGUGGGAAUUUUACUCUUUUGCAUCCCGAUGUUUUGAUGCGUCUACGUGUCAUUUUAAUGUUGUAAAUAUUGAUUUUUUGUGUUGUAAGCAUGUAUUCUUGAUGUUGAAUAACGGAGCGUCCGAUAAAAUUACCAUACGUCCGGGCGGUAACAAGCUUUUUUUUUCAAAACAUGUACAAACAUAAUUUGGACAACUAGCCGACGAGAACAACCAGCAGCUUGCCUGGUGGGUCUGAAAGAAAACCCAAUAACUUGUCUAAUUAGUAGAAAUCCUAAGCGCACAAAUCCGGUAACAAACAGAACUGCAGAAGUAACUAGCUAGUUGCUCUGUGGUUUGGUUGCGUCUGACAAAACUUUGGCGGGGGCGUUCUUGAUCUUUAUAAACUCGUCCGGGCAUCAUACAAUAUAAACCUUGGUUUAUAAGGCUGAUUUUUUUUCUAGAAUUAAAUUAAGAAAAAUACAAAUACCUGUAUCGAGUUGUAUCGAGUUGGGGACUCAAACUCAAGUGAGCAGAUGGUGAGGAAUCUCACCAGUUAAGUUACACUCGGUUUAUUAUAAGAUUAACUCUUCGAGUCGGUAAUAAUUUUUUCCUUUGUCAGUGGAGUAUAAUAUUCUAUAAAACCAAAGACACUGUCCACUAGGUUCUUGUGUGUUGUGUGUGAUAGCCAUCAUCAAGGAUUCAAGAUAAGUAGGUAACCCCGUAUUCUACAAGAAGAAUUGCCAAUUCACUAAUCGUCAAUCAACUUUGUCCUCAGCGAGUCCUGGCUAAAAUGUUUUCACGUAAAUAAUUUUUCUGACAAAUUACAAUGUCGUCUCAAGUCAAUGAUCAUAGAGAUGAACAUCGUCCCCUGCGGCCUCGUCAAUCCUGACCGUUCCUAAGAGAUGAACGCCUCAGGAGCGCUGUCGCUGCUGGAAGUUGAGAACAGCCGGUCCUCGUCCUCCUAUGAAUGCUCUCUCCCGCCGCCGCCGCCGUCCGCGCCGCGGCGGGCUCGCCUCCGGCAGUCCGCGGCGCGCACGCGCGCCUCCUCAAGGAGGGGCUCGCCCACCUGCCCAUGGCGCCUGCGCUCCUCGUCUCCGCCUACGCCAGGUCGGGCCUCCUCGCCGACGCCCGCAGCGUGUUCGACGAUGCGCCGCGCCGGGACGUCCACCUAUACUCCGCACUCCUCGCCGCCGUCUCCCACUCCCCCACCCCCGGGCUCGCGCUGCCGCUCCUCCGCCGCAUGCUCUCGGACGACGCGCUCCGCCCUGACCACUUCGUCCUCGCCUCCCUCGCCAGCGCCGCCGCCAGGCUGCGCAGCCUCCGCCUCGGCAGGCAGCUCCACGCCCACUUCGUCGCCUCCCCGUACAGCGGCGACGACGUCGUUAAGUCGUCGCUGAUCGACAUGUACUGCAAGUGCGGCGUACCCGAGGAUGCCCGGAAGGUGUUCGACAGCAUCGGUGUCAAGAACAGCGUCGUGUGGACUGCGCUGGUUUCUGGGUAUGCGUCCAACGGCUACACCGACGAGGCGGUGGAGCUCUUCCGGAGCAUGCCUGCACGUGGCCUCUUCACAUGGACAGCGCUCAUCUCUGGGUUUGUCAAGGCUGGAAACAAUGCUAGUGCGGUGCGGAUGUUUGUUGAGAUGAGGCGGGAUGGUGUCAGGAUUGAUGACGCAUUCGUCUUGGCAACUGCAAUCGGUGGUGUGGCAGACCUGGCUGCACUUGUGCUGGGCAGGCAGCUGCAUGGUUUUGCCCUUAGGCUUGGGUUCUUGUCCAGCAUGAUUGUUGGGAAUGCGUUGGUUGACAUGUACUCCAAAUGCACUGAUAUACAUUCUGCUAGGGAAGUGUUUGAGGGGAUCACAGUCCGUGACAUCAUCUCGUGGACGACAAUUCUUGUUGGAGAGGCUCAGCACGGUCGAGCUGAGGAAGUAUUAUCUCUUUUUGACAGGAUGGUUCAUGCAGGAGUUAAGCCCAACGAGGUGACAUUUGUUGGCUUGAUUUAUGCUUGUAGUCACGCUGGUCUUGUUCAGAAAGGCCGGCAGCUGUUUGAGUCAAUGAAGCUGGAAUAUGGCAUCAAGCCUGGACUGCAACACUAUACUUGCUAUCUGGACCUUCUUAGUCGGUCAGGCCAUUUAUCAGAAGCUGAAGAACUCAUCACUACAAUGCCAUACGAGCCUGAUGAAGCUAGUUGGGGGGCCUUAUUGAGUGCCUGUAAGAAGCACAAUGAUGCUCAGAUGUGUCUCAGGGUUGCUGAUAAUUUACUAGAAUUGAGACCAAAAGAUCCUUCAACAUAUAUCUUGUUAUCUAAUGUGUAUGCUGUGAAUUGCAAGUGGGAUUCUGUGGCCAAGGUAAGAAAGAUCAUGGCUGAGAUGGAGAUAAGAAAAGAGCCUGGGUAUAGCUGGAUUGAAGCUGGAAAGGAAUUUCGUCUGUUCCAUGCUGGGGAGGUUCCAAUUGAUGUUAGAGAAGAAAUUACUGGUUUUCUUGAGGAAUUGGUCUCAGAGAUGCGCAAGAGGGGUUAUGUCCCUGAUACCAGCUCUGUGAUGCACGACUUGGAAGAGCAUGAGAAGGAGCAGCAUCUGUUCCUGCACAGUGAGAGGCUGGCUGUUGCUUUUGGAAUACUCAAGUCUCCUCCAGGAUCAGUGAUCCGGAUUGUAAAGAAUCUUCGGGUGUGUGGGGACUGCCAUACAGUAAUGAAGUUCAUCAGUGAAAUUGCACAGAGGAAGAUCAUCGUGAGAGAUGCUAGUCGUUUCCACCAUUUUGAGGGUGGGAAGUGCUCUUGUAGUGAAUUCUGGUAGCUAGUCAGCUGAUGUUGGGUUGUGCUUAAGUCCUGUUGGUAUGCUGUUGGAAGCUCUUACCUUGUUUUGGCAGCAUACUUCAAUGCUGCGCCUGUAAGGAAAAAAGAAGGUACUGAAACAAAAGAAUUUUCAGUCUGUCAGACUUUACUCUGCUUUUUUUGUUUGUUGACUCCAUGAAGAGUCUAACAUGAUGCUGAAAUAACGUUUCAUAUUUCUAUGAAAUAUGCAUUGCAGAUUAUGUCCAAUUUGCCUGUUUAUACACAAAACUACUAUUUUAGUUUACAAAUACUUCACAGAAAUGUGCCAGAGUGUUGGUCAUACAAGUGAGUGCUCUUUCCAUCUUUAUGUUUCCAGUGAUGUUUCAGUCUUGGUACACUCCAAAACAAUGAAACCAUGUUCUUAGUACUUGGGCGUUUGAUGUGCUUCAGGCAGACGUGUGCUCGCCAAGUGCGGCUGCUAUGGUGGUGUGUGGCGCCUGGACUUUAUGAUCUGGAAGGAACGCACGGCGUCAUGGCCGGAAGGUGUGGGAACUAGGUGCAACGGUGCGAUAUAUAUCUUCUCUGCUGGAGGACAUGGCGUCGUUGAAAUUGCUGAUCAAGCAGCAGGGAGCAAGCAUCCCAUCUGUGUGGAGAUGUCCUGAUGUGGGCUGGGUGAAGGUGAACACCGAUGCGGCAUUCGACGCUGACUCUUGUACGGGCAGCGCUGAGGUGGUGAUCCGUGACCACAACGGAUUGGUGAUGGCAGCAGCAACCAGAUGGCUUGACUCGGUGCCGGAUGCACUAACUGCUGAGGCGAUGGCGGCAAAGGAGGGCCUGGAGCUGGCUGUUGAGUGUGAUUUUGGAAAAGCUAUCCUUAAAGUAGACUGCAGCACUUUGAAGACGGUACUAGAGUCAGCUGAUGGCAUGAGAUCGCCGAUAGGCGGGCUUUGUUUCGAUAUCACAGAGUUAGUUAGGCAGGAGUUUUGAUUUGUUUAGAGUUGUUUGGGUGAGUAGAGAUGCAAACUCAGUAGCUCAUAGUUGUGCUACCAUGGGGUCGGUCUCUGAACGAUCCCAGUUUUGGCUUGACUAUAUCCAAGAGUGGUUGUUGGGAUUAGCAGCCGCUGAUUGUAAUUCUGCCUCGAAUUAAUGAAAAUUCAGUGAUGCUCAAAAAAUACAAUGAAACCAUGUUCUUCUGUCCUCUCCUUGUUCAGAUUCGCUACCUAGCAAGUGAGGAUAAUAGGAAUCAUAUAGCUACCAAGUGAAAAGAGUGAAGAUGAAAUGCUUUUUAGGACUAGCUCCAUUAACAAACUAGAAUGGCCUAUGGUAUUUCCAUAUGGUGUGGCUAUGGCACAAAUGAUCUUCAAUUUUUUCACCAUAGUUUCUGGAUGUGAUAAGGCAAACAACUGAUGAUAUGCAUGCUUUGUUCUUUACAGUACAGAAUUUUGCAUUUCUGUUCUAUUCUUUACACCAUUUGAUUACACGUGUCAACGCAGACUCUUAGUGGGAUCAAAGUCAGGAAUGCAGGAGAUAGCACCAGAGCCUCAGGUUUUUUAUCAUCAUUGGGUGCACUGACGUACGUUUGCAGGUUUUCUGAUCUGUGUUCGAUUAUUGGUUUUUAAUGGGAUAACUAUUGUUUUUUCUCAAUCAGUAUCCUUUUGUAAACAGCGGCAAGUAGUCUCACUGACCAUUGAUCAAAUCAGGGCAUGGGAGGCUGAGACCUUGAUGGCAGCUCUAGAAGCCGAUUUUAUGAAAGCGGUUGUGAUGUCGGCGGCACCGUCACGUCGCAACACCCUCGCAAGUCGCAACCUGCCGCUGCCGCCGGGUCUUCCUAUUGCUCCUCUUCUAGGACCGUCGGUGGCCACCGGAAUCCCAGCAAUCCUUCUCCUUGUACUCCGGGCGCCGUUGCUCAGCAAGGAAGAGGAACAGGAGCACACAAAACCACUUGCUAGCUUGCACGGUUUUGAACAACGAUGCUGCGAGUUCCAUUCGCGCAUGAUCAAUAAAAUCUGCGUGAGCCCCCCCCCCCCCCCCCCCCCCUCUCUCGCCCUCCCUGGCGGCACGGGGUGAUUCUGCAUCUCCGCCCCUCCUCCCACCCAGGCCGCCUCCGGUGGCCACCGCCGCCGCCCGGCUGAACCGAAGCCGGCCUAGCUCACCUACUUCCUCCCUCCCCUUCCUCUUUCCCCUCCGUUUCUCAUCCCUAAACCAAGAUCGUCUUCUCCGGCACCAUUCUUGGUCGCCGCCGGCGGUCGCAGGCUGGAUCCACCCGUCUCUUUGCCGGAUCUGGCCACCCCUUGCUCGGACCUGCUCGCGGUGGCGCUCCCUGGACGGUGUGCGGUGUGCUUAGCCACCGGGUGCCGUUCUGCCCCCGCUAACCUCUACACCCCCUCCGAGGCCCGCCCCCUGGGCGCGGGGUCGCCGCGCCUACCGGCUGGCCCAGCUUUGCAAUGGGGCGCCGUUGCCGCUUUUGGUGGCUGCGACUGCCCCCAUCCUCCAGUUCCGCGCCGGGCCAUGGUCGUCAUGAUUGUUCACGAGAAAUUUCGAUAUUUAACACUGAAUACGUACGCCUUACACGUUUUGACAUCUGAUUCGUAAGGCUUUCGAAAUAUAACCUCCCGCACGUGAGUUUACGUUCUUUUAAUUCGAGGGACUCUAUUUCUUUGAUUAUUCUUUUCUUUUUCGUUUUACAGUCCUCUGAAAAGACGACAUUGCCCCUCAUCGUAUCCUUAACCACCGAUUGGAUCCAAUGGGCCCGUGCGCUAGUCUCUCCCUCGUUCGCUCUGUCUCUCGCUCGCCAAGAACACCGCGCCGCCGCCGCCGCCGCCGGUCGCCCUCCCCUCUGCCUCCGUCCACCCUACCGGCGCCUCCUCCACAGCUCGAGGGCGUACCCGAACGCGAUGGUCAGGACCGGGCCCCAGAGGUUGCCCUUGCUCGCGCCCACGGCCGCGGCUCGGUGGCGCCGCCGCAGGAGGAGGUGGAGGGGAAGGUGGCGACGGCGGCGAAGACAGCCACGAAGGCGCCGAGGAGGCUCCAGCACUACCUCGGCGCCCACGGCCACGAAGGCGCCGAGGAGGCACCCGCCGGCGGCGAGCAGAAGGCUCCGGAGGUAGUGCUGGAGAGCUCGGACGAGGUCCCGGUACGCGGCAGGGGCCGGGUCGGCGCGGCUGAUGGCGUCGGCGUCGAGCAGCAAGGCGGCCGCCAGCGGCUGCACGGCGAGGGCGUUGCCGAGGAGUAGCGCCGCGGCGAGCGCGGCCGUGAGGGCGAGAAGCGGCACGAAGAGCGCUAUCCUGCUGCCUCUCUCGCUCGUCUCUCUUCUCUGUCGCCCCCACGCGCCCUGCUGCUCACGCCGCCCAUCUCGCAGGGCCGCCCGCCGCCAUGGCCACCGGAGCUGAGCGCUGCCGUCGGUUUCCGGCCGCUCAAAUCGCCGUCUCCGCUGCCCGCCUGUCGAGGCCAUGACUCGCGCGAGCUCCGCGACGCCAUUCGGUAGCUCCGCCUCUGCUCGCCGAGCCGAGGUGCGUGAGGCUCUUGGACUGGACGCCCUGGCGGCGGGGGGCUCCUGUUCUUGAUACGAGAGAGAGGGACGCGAGAACAAGCGGACAGGAGAGGGGAGAAAGACCGAUUGGAUUCAAUCUGCGCGAAUGGAUUUGGACAGGGGCAAAUUGGUCCAUUUAUUUGGUCUGUGAAAUGAAAAUGAAAAGAAAACGAGAGAAAAGGAGAAAAGGGUAUGAAAUCUCUCGAAUCAAAAGAAUUCACGUGCAGGAGAUUAUAUUUUGAAAGGCUUGCGAAUUGAAUGUCAAAUCAUGUAAGGUGUGCGUAUCCAAUGUCAAAUAUCGAAAUUUCUCGUCAUGUAGCCUCCACUGCCACUGCCAUGGUCGUCAUUGUUGUUGCUGCUCACCGCUUCUAGUCGUGGGAUACGCUUGCCUCUAAAGUGGUGCUGCUCGGUGCUGCGCUUCUCUGCUUCUACCCUGCUUUGCUUCAGCUCGUCAGAUCUGUCGAUCGGUGCUCGUUGCUCGCAGACGGUAUUGUCCAGCAUGAAGAUGGGUCUUUAGGUCUUGGCGAAAGCCUUGCACAGUUUUGGUUCGUGCUAACAAUGGCGACACCUUCUGGUGCUGUUAUCCUCAC